GGAGACUGUUGGAAUUUUUAUUCACAGCAACACUUGACCCACUGCUUCCCUCUCCCUUCUAAUCCAAGUUUUCAUCACUCCAUUUCUCCCAUUUUCUCCACUCCGCCAAACUUUGCAAAAAAAACACAUGAUUCAGUAAUGAAACGAGCUCAUAUCAACCGAAAAUGUUCAUUGCCCCUAAUUUUCGCAUCCAUUUCAGCCCUCAUACUCAUCUUCAUCUCAAUUCUAUCCCACCUCAAACCCAAUAAUUCCUCUUUCCCCACCCCCAUCUCCGAUCUCCCAGACUUCCCCCAAUUGCCGCGAUUCGCCUACUUCAUUUCCGGCACAAGCGGCGACGGCGCGAGCCUGAGGCGGCUGCUUCAGGCCUCGUACCAUCCGCGCAAUUACUAUCUCCUUCAUCUCGAUUUGGAGGCCUCCGACUCCGAAAGGCUAGACCUCGCCAAGUAUGUCAAGUCUGCACCACUAAUUCGGAGCUUCAGGAAUGUGAUGGUGAUGGGGAAGGGCGACUUGCUCACCCCCAAGGGCCCCACGGAGAUGGCCUCCACGCUGCACGCCAUCGCCAUUCUUCUCAAGCAGCCCAAGCGCUGGGAUUGGUUUGUUAACCUUGGUGCUUCCGAUUAUCCGCUUAUGCCUCAGGAUGAUUUGCUGCACAUUUUCUCCUACUUGCCUAGGGAUCUGAAUUUCAUUGAGCAUACUAGUGACUUUGGUUGGAAAGAACACCAAAGAGCUAGGCCUAUAAUAAUUGAUCCUGGAUUGUAUCACUCAAAGAAAUCUGGUGUUUUCUGGGCCAAGGAGAAAAGAUCAUUGCCUGCUUCUUUCAAAUUAUUCACUGGUUCUGCUUGGGUGGUUCUUUCAAGGUCGUUUCUCGAGUUUUGCAUCUGGGGAUGGGAUAAUCUCCCACGCACUCUCCUCAUGUACUAUACAAAUUUCCUCUCAGCGUCAGAGGGAUAUUUCCACACCGUGAUGUGCAAUCACAAGCACUAUCAGAACACAACGGUGAACCACGACCUGCACUUCAUAAAGUGGGAGGACACUAGGAGGGAACAGCCCGUGAAUUUGACCCUAGACGACUUUGAGAGGAUGGUGGAAAGCGGGGCCCCAUUCGCUCAUAAAAUUGGGAGCGACGCUGUUCUUAAUAAAAUCGACAGAGUUCUACUGAGAAGAUCAGCCAGCCAGUUUACUCCUGGGGGUUGGUGUAUGGCUAGCUAUGGGCGUAAACAGGAGGAUUCUUGUCUGGUUUAUGCUAGUUCAGAUGUCACUAAACCAUCUUCAAGUUCGAAAAGGUUGGAGAUGCUUGUGACUCACCUGCUCGAUAACGAUCAAUUUCGUGGAAAACAAUGUAAAUAAUCUUUAUUAUCCUUGUCCAAACAAUGAAGCCCCUGUCGAUAAACAAAGAGAAGGCGAUGGAUCCAGCGUGAGGUACGACCUACUCGUGCGUGGGAGUCUUGCAUGCAGCACAACUGCUUACAUGUCAUCGCCUAAUUGCUUACGCGGCUAAGAAUCGGGUCACCAGCAACCCUACCAACACGUUUUUCGGUAUCAAUUCUAUUUUCUUUUUGAAUUUAAAUUAUACCUCUCUUUGAUUACUCGUGAGGCGUUUUGUUUAUAAGGUCAUCUCUAACCAUUUACAUCAAACUUAAAUUUUAUACACCAUUGCAUGGAUGUUACACAAAUUUUUUGCAGUAGCUAUAGUACACACCCAUACUUGAUGUUGUUCCAUAGAAAAACGCAAAAAUUGGUUUGGAUUUGCAGUAUGAUUGGAGAAGUUUUUUACACAAAAAAAAUCAAAUUUCGUGUAUGGUUGGAGAUAUUGUCUAACGUUGAACUUGUCCUAUUGAGAUGAGCUUGAUAACUUUUCAUUGUCUUGUGUUGAUUUCUAGGGAAUAAGCAUGUAUUAUUGUAAUCGAUGUAAUCAAACUUAAUAUAUGUUCUCUUUAUUUCAAGUGGCACAUUUGAUAAACUUGGGAGAGUUAGAUUAAUUAGUCUUCAUCAGAUUUUAAGAGUAUGUAUAUUUUUCUAAUUAAUCUUCUUCUUCAUGUAAUGAGUCAUGAAUUUUAUGUA